rnacentral:rRNA from 1 species
ACGCUCGACACCUACGGGAGGCAGCAGUGGGGAAUAUUGCACAAUGGGGGAAACCCUGAUGCAGCGACGCCGCGUGAGUGAAGAAGUAUUUCGGUAUGUAAAGCUCUAUCAGCAGGGAAGAAAAUGACGGUACCUGAGUAAGAAGCCCCGGCUAACUACGUGCCAGCAGCCGUGGUAAUCUGAGCGGGCUGGCAAGGC